rfam:Parcubacteria (Adlerbacteria) bacterium GW2011_GWC1_50_9 TY61_C0022, whole genome shotgun sequence.
GGAAGCGUGGCCGAGCGGUUUAUGGCGUUGGUCUUGAAAACCAAUUGGGGAGAAAUCCUCUCGGAGGUUCGAAUCCUCCCGCUUCCG